AAAGUCGUAACAAGGUUUCCGUAGGUGAACCUGCGGAAGGAUCAUUAAAGAGAAAGGGGCUUAAAAACCCCGACCUCCAACCCUCUGUUGUUAAAACUACUUUGUUGCUUUGGCGGGACCGUUCGGUCUUUUCCGAACCCUUCAGGAUCCCUCACGGGUUCCCGGGGGAGCUCCCGCCAGAGUUAAACCAAACUCUUGUUAUAUAAACCGGUCGUCUGAGUAAAAUUUUUGAAUUAAAUCAAAACUUUCAACAACGGAUCUCUUGGUUCUC
rnacentral:misc_RNA from 1 species